UAUACGACUGAAGUUUGCGUCAAUAUUGGAGCAGCAGUUGCAGAUGUCAAGAGAAAAAAAAAAUAUUGUUAAAACGAGAACAAUUUCACCCUGUGACAGAUAGUAACAUGCGGGCCGAUGGAAAUAUUGGGAAAUCCUGCGCCGUAAAACCAUGCUGUUUCGUAUGCCAAGAAGUAAAGAAGACGGAUACCGGUUCACUACCACGGCACCGGCAGGUGCCAGGUACCUCAGGCAGCCCUGACAGAGUGCAGGACGAAGACGAAGACUCGACAAUGAUAACGUUCAACGUUGUCCAAGGUAGCCUGCAUCGGUGUCAGGUUGCUCAUGAUCUACUUUCGUGUAUCGCGCAGCACUAGGACGCGGAUGUGUUCAUCAUCAGUGAGCAGUACCAGUACGGAAUGAGAAUAAUACCACGGUUACCUGGGUUCAGGGUGCAGAUCCAAAGAGGGUAAGCGGACACGGAGUAGGGAUCAAUCAUAUCUGAUUAAAACUGGGCGAAUUCACUUUCGCCAGUGCCUACCUUGCGCUGAACUGCACUGCGCUAAAAUUUCAUCAGAAGUUUACUAGGCUCGAAGACGCACUAACAAUGACAGAGUUACCCAGCGAGCUCAUCGCCAUCGGGAACUUCAAUGUGAAGAGGCCAAGUGGGAUUCGUCUAUAACGUACACGAGGAGACGUCUGACAUUGGAAAUCGUUGCAGGACUCGACUUGACGGUAGCGAAUAGAUGGGAUAGGACAAAGUUGUGGUGACCGGGAUAUGUAGGAUCGAUACUGGACUUGAUGCUUGUAUUGAACAGGCUACUGCAGACUGAUAGGGCUUGGCAGAUGUUAGAAGACUAUGCGGCAAGUGAUCGUCAGUAAAUCCGCUUCUGUAGGGGUGUUGGUCGUCGUCGAGUCCAAAGACGCCGGGCGCUUGCGUUGGAAUCUGAAGAGACUAGACGAACAUAGUUUCGUUACAGGAUUCAAGGACGCACGCAAUCCUAUAGAGAACAUACUGGAUGACCUCACAGAACGAAGGAAGGUAGAAGCCGUGGCGGUAUUCACUUGCUGAAAUGGCAAAUCACUUUGAAGAGCAGUUAAAAAUCGCUUGUUAUCAGUUGAAAUCAUUGCAAUCACUUGAGUGAGUACCCCCGGUACGAGCCUUAGGUACAAAAUAUUGUGGAAAUUCAACGCAUCGGAAUGCGGCCAUGUAUCCGCGCUUUUAUGUGUUGGAUUCAAACUCAUUCAUUACAUGGGCUUUAACUGCUGAGGCUUUACAUCAUCAAUGAUGAAGUUUUUUAAAUGAUGGACAUCGUGGUGGAGUUGUGGACGUCUUUCGUAACCCAUGGGUAACUUAUGUCAAGCAUCAAUAUACUGAGAAUAUUCUUCCAUCCCUGGUGCUCAAGAUAUCCCGCAACCAACAAAUUUCUUCUUAAUCUGAAAGGAAGUACGUCUGGAGCAGCAGCGAUUGCAUCGAUCGACCAAAGCGUCUUCAAUUCAAUACAAACUUGAUUUUCGUGCUUUUAAUUUCUACCUUAAAACAUAUAACGGUGACCUAGCCAAACCGAGAAAUCAAUCUACGUAGUACUGCGUCAGGGGGACCUUCCCAUAUUACAUUGUGAGGUUUGCCUACAAUAGAUCAGAUUACAGUUCACUACCUGUUUGGUCGAGACGUCUACAACAUAACUUGAUGAAUUGCUGGGAGUUUUUUGUAAAGAAAUGUAUAGGCGACGAUAAUGUUCAACAAUGGUAUAUAUUCAAAACAAAUCAUGAGAGGUGAUGCACAUAAUGAUUUAUGAUUAGAGCUUGUUAGGUUGAGAUUGUAACUCGAGAGUAUUUUGAGAUACGUUUAUAUUGUUCACGGAGUACGUACAUUCGACAUGAGGAUAUAAGGAAAAUUUCAGGGAUACGGAGUUGAGAUUGUGUUAGUGAAAAAACAGAUGUAGUUCUGUCUGUACGGACAGGGGGGUAGGAGAAGAUUCGAAAGUGUGACGAAAGAAAAUCACAUGGAAAUGGAAAGUCCCGAGGGUUAUGAAAAGGCACUUGACGUGAUAGAUUCUUGGAAGGAUAUUUGCUGUGGGGAGGUAUACGAGUACAACUCUGUGAACGGAAUACAACUUAAUAAGUCUUAGAUAGUAAACAAACGAAUCAUUCAAUCUAUCGUGGAAGACACCAUGACUUACGGCAAUAUAGAUAUGAGAAAUUUAUGUAGUAAAAUUCCGCUCAUUUCUUCGUUUACUUUACAGAAAAAGAAAAGUUUUCCCACUCUGUGUCCACAGUUCGUUUAUUGGAAUAUAUAUUUAACCUAAAUGAAUACGAUGCUAACAGAAUCAACCUUGUAUAGUUUAGUGGAGUUAUUUAGUUAGGUUUCCCGAAACAUUUUGUUUCGCCAACGUUUAUCAAUUAACUUAAUCGGAUGUGUCUUCCGCCACAUUGUAGUCAAUGCAAUUUCAAUACGUUUUGGCCAAAGGGCGACCACGAGUUGAGCUGUAAAUUCAGAUGUGAAUGCUUGCAAAAAUUUGACAGUAAAGAAAACUCAUUCCGUUAUUCUUUUCGGAGGCAUGUAUUCAUACCGGUUUUAUCAUUCUCAACAGCAGUUGAGAUACAUCUUGUUUCAGAAACAAUAUUAGUUCGAAGCAAUAACUUGAAAAUGCACAAAUUAAGGUGAAGUGAUCAUUUUAUGUAAUUCAAGCAUGUUUAACGAUUUUUUAAUGUUUGUAUUGCAUACUUGAUGCAGCCGUUUCUACGACAGUAAAGAAAAAGGCAUUAAAAGGUCCCAGUACUUUAAAAUGCUAAAUUUUAUACUUCACGCAUGUGCAUUCGCUUUUGAAACACAAGUUUGAAAAAAAACCCAAAAAAUUGUCAACCAUACUUUUGUUACAUAAAUUAUCGUAUACACCAAGGACGCAAGAUUUUUUUACGACUAGCUUAUUUGCGAUACUGGGGUUCGUCUCAUGCAUUCGCACUUGUCUACGAUUUAUCACAAACUCAAACCCGGCGUUCAUAGACCUAGUUUGCCUCCUUGAUGCACAAUAUACUAUUAUUCAAGUGGGGAUUUUAAAGGGUGUGAAGUUUGGCGCGAAGAGAUAUUGCUGAUAGUCUUUCAAGGUCGGUGCAAAGUGAAUUUUAAACACUGAAGCCCAUGUUUUACAUUGGUGUUGAACCAGCUGUUGAAGAAAGCAAGCAGCCGGAUGAUGCAAGAAUAAAAUAAGCAGUCCAUCUGUCAAGUUAAUAUACCUAAAACGUUAACGUAUGACAGGUGACAUAAAUACAAAAAUAACCAAGUUUUAAAAAAUAAACGCGUGGUCUUAGCACCUGAUGGUAAAAUUUCAUAAUACUUAUCCUGAAAAUUGAGGAACAUGGAUAAAAUCUGUGUUUCAGCUCUGGCAGGUUGAUAAUUAAUUAUGACCGUAAGAUAACCUACUCGUAAACAAAGUACAUAAUACGUUAACAAGUUACAUGAGUUGAUAGUGUUAGUUAGACGUUGAGCCAGUAUUGGGUAUGAUAAACGCUGCUAUGAAGUUGUGAAGAAGCAAAACUGCUGGUAUUUCAUCUUUUCGGCUUUUGUUUGCUAGACAUUAAUCUAGUUUCAAGAAUGCGAUGGUUAUUCGAUAUGGUACGGGUACGUUUCAUAAUCAUGAAUUUGACUGUUGUCAGAUACAGCUAAGGUGUGGAAGCAGUUGAUUUGGUGCCAGCGUCAAGUAGUGGCGAAAGGUGGAAGAAUCGGGAGUGAGUAGGAUCAGGCUUGAUAGAAAAAUUUGAUUUAGACGAGAAAAAUGGAGAGUGGUAACAAGAAAAGAAGCUCGUUUCAUAAAGGUAAUGGCAAUACUGGACGGAUGACCAACACAACUUGGUCAAUGACGUUAUGCUGGAAGGAAACCGUCACUCACGAACUUUACUAUUAUGUUUAAAGGUUUCAAGUUGUGAGCUAAACCUAUUCACGAUUAGCAAACGGUACGAAGUUAUGGUAAUUCUCACCUGUGAAAUUUGCCACAGCCGAGUUUGUUCUCAGUAAAGAACAACGCGUAACGGAGAUGACUUUGAGCCCAAGGGAAGAGUGUCUUAUUCUCCCAGUUUUGCUGAGUAUUUAUUGUUCGUCAUGUAAUGGAUACUUCGAAGGAACAACCUAACUGCAAGUAAUUAUUCCACAGCGAACUCCACAGAGGAAAGUAAUAACCAUCACGCAUGGGUGAAAUAUGACCUGCUUUUACGGGAUUCCUUAUCGGCAACCAGCGACAGGAAAUCCAAGGUUAUAAAUUCAAUUGUCAACGACAUCAAAAUUUUUACCGCCCUUAACUGCAACUCGAAUUGCAAUUGUGGUCUAUUUGUUACUAUAAUAAAAAGCUGCAUAAACGAAUUAAAUGCGUUUUCUGAUAUAAAUACAAAACUUUUGAAUCACGUUCGCGACGUAAUCAAAUGGUUCUCUUAGAUAAUAUUUUUCGGAGUAAGAAAUGCAUUUAUUGACAUGGAGCACGUACCGGGUCUAAGCGUGGAGUCACCUCGGCGCCUAUAUAUAGGCAACUGGGCGUUAAAAUUUCGUUUCUUACAAUUAGAUGGCAAACUGUAUUUCUAGUUGUCUACAUGCAGGCGUUGAGGUGGCUUGUUUCCACGUUUAGACCCGGUACA